UAACAGGUUUGAACUGAAGAGUUUGAUCCUGGCUCAGAUUGAACGCUGGCGGCAUGCCUUACACAUGCAAGU
rnacentral:rRNA from 1 species